rnacentral:rRNA from 1 species
CGCAGCCGCGGUAAUUCCAGCUCCAAUAGCGUAUAUUAAAGUUGUUGCAGUUAAAAAGCUCGUAGUUGAAUUUCGGGAUCAAUAUGUUGGUCGUGCCUCGGUACGUACUAGCUUAUUGGUUUCUCCUUUCUGAAGAACCAUGAUGUCAUUUAUUUGGUGUCGUGGGGAAUCAGGACUGUUACUUUGAAAAAAUUAGAGUGUUUAAAGCAGGCUCACGCUUGAAUACAUUAGCAUGGAAUAAUGAAAUAGGACGUUUGAUUCUAUUUUGUUGGUUUCUAGGAUCGACGUAAUGAUUAAUAGGGAUAGUUGGGGGCAUUAGUAUUCAAUUGUCAGAGGUGAAAUUCUUGGAUUUAUUGAAGACUAACUACUGCGAAAGCAUUUGCCAAGGAUGUUUUCAUUAAUCAAGAACGAAAGUUAGGGGAUCGAAGACGAUCAGAUACCGUCGUAGUCUUAACCAUAAACUAUGCGACUAGGGAUCGGAUGAUGUUAAUUUUUAAUGACUCAUUCGGCGCCUUAAC